rnacentral:rRNA from 1 species
UACGUAGGGGGCAAGCGUUGUCCGGAAUCAUUGGGCGUAAAGAGCGUGUAGGCGGCCCGAUAAGUCCGCUGUGAAAGUCCAGGGCUCAACCCUGGAAUGCCGGUGGAUACUGUCGGGCUCGAGUUCGGAAGAGGUGAGUGGAAUUCCUGGUGUAGCGGUGAAAUGCGCAGAUAUCAGGAGGAACACCGGUGGCGAAGGCGGAUCUCUGGGCCAUUACUGACGCUGAGGAGCGAAAGCGUGGGGAGCGAACAGG